rnacentral:lncRNA from 1 species
CAGGGUCCGGGGUUUCCCUCCAGCCUCACACAGCGGAUCCUGUGACACACCCGACAAAGAAAGGAACCUUAGCGUGGCCAGGAGUCCAGGAAAAUACGGUGGGGGUCCUCGAGGACCACCCCAAGAAGCUUCAGACUUGGUUCUGCUGUGAUGUCAGGAAGCCGAUGGACGCCUGCGGCUGCUUGUUGCUGUUGUCACUGCAGGGGCCGGGGCGCUAGAAGAGAGGAAGUUUGUGCCCCAGAGAGGAGCCAAAUGAGCACCCCGAACAGAGAGACGGCAGGGGCAGACUUCCAGAGUCAGGAUGGACCUCACGAUGCUGGAGUCCAGAGGGAGGCAGAAGAGAGGGACAGAGACUUCUGAAGUCUCCCUCGAGCUCGCCUCCUCUCCGGAGGGACCUUUGCUUCCAGAAUGGAGCCGUUCGGUCUAUUUUUGCAGUAGAG